rnacentral:rRNA from 1 species
UACGUAGGGGGCAAGCGUUUGUCCGGAAUCAUUGGGCGUAAAGAGCGUGUAGGCGGCUCGGUAAGUCCGCUGUGAAAGUCCAGGGCUCAACCCUGGAAUGCCGGUGGAAACUGUCGAGCUAGAAUCCGGAAGAGGCGAGUGGAAUUCCUGGUGUAGCGGUGAAAUGCGCAGAUAUCAGGAGGAACACCAAUGGCGAAGGCAGCUCGCUGGGACGGUAUUGACGCUGAGACGCGAAAGCGUGGGGAGCAAACAGG